rnacentral:rRNA from 1 species
GAUGAACGCUGGCGGCGUGCCUAAUACAUGCAAGUCGAGCGAACAGACGAGGAGCUUGCUCCUCUGACGUUAGCGGCGGACGGGUGAGUAACACGUGGAUAACCUACCUAUAAGACUGGGAUAACUUCGGGAAACCGGAGCUAAUACCGGAGAAUAUAUUGAACCGCAUGGUUCAAUAGUGAAAGACGGUUUUGCUGUCACUUAUAGAUGGAUCCGCGCCGCAUUAGCUAGUUGGUAAGGUAACGGCUUACCAAGGCAACGAUGCGUAGCCGACCUGAGAGGGUGACCGGCCACACUGGAACUGAGACAAGGUCCAGACUCCUACGGGAGGCAGCAGUCGGGAAUCUUCCGCAAUGGGCGAAAGCCUGACGGAGCCACGCCGCGUGAGUGAUGAAGGUCUUCGGAUCGUAAAACUCUGUUAUUAGGGAAGAACAAAUGUGUAAGUAACUAUGCACGUCUUGACGGUACCUAAUCAGAAAGCCACGGCUAACUACGUG